GGGCGGGUGGUCUAGCGGUUAUGACAUCCUUGAAGAAAGACUUCAAGGGCAGUAAACCGCCCUCACACGGCGGGGGUCCCAGGUUCGAAUCCUGGCCCGCCCA
rnacentral:tRNA from 1 species